GACGAACGCUGGCGGCGCGCUUAACACAUGCAAGUCGAGCGAGAUCCAGGCCUUAGGGCCUGGGGACAGCGGCGAACGGGUGAGUAACACGUGGGUAAUCAACCCUCGACACUGGGAUAGCCCGGGGAAACCCGGAUUAAUACCGGAUGGCCCUUUGGAUCUUCGGAUCUGACGGGAAAGGUAGCUUCGGCCUCCGGUCGAGGACGAGCCCGCGGCGGAUUAGCUUGUUGGUGAGGUAACGGCUCACCAAGGCGACGAUCCGUAGCUGGUCUGAGAGGACGAUCAGCCACACUGGGACUGAGACACGGCCCAGACUCCUACGGGAGGCAGCAGUGGGGAAUCUUGCGCUAAUGCGGGAAACCGUGACGCAGCGACGCCGCGUGAGGGAAGAAGGCCUUCGGGUUGUAAACCUCUUUCAGGAGGGACGAAGCCACUCGGGUGAAUAGCCCAGAGGGUGACGGUACCUCCAGAAGAAGUCCCGGCUAACUACGUGCCAGCCGCCGCCGUAA
rnacentral:rRNA from 1 species